rnacentral:tRNA from 2 species
GGAUAGAUGGCCGAGCGGUUUAAGGCGAUAGUUUUGAAAACUGUUGUAAUUUAACAAUUACCGUGGGUUCGAAUCCCACUCUGUCUU